GACUUCUCGACAACGAUAUAUCUCGCUCUUGCAUCGAUGAAGAACGUAGCAAAAUGCGAUACUUGGUGUGAAUUGCAGAAUCCCAUGAACCAUCAAGUAUUUGAACGCAAGUUGCGCCCCAAUCCUUCUGGCCGAGGGCACGUCUGCUUGGGUGUCACAAAUCGUCGUCCCCCAUCCUCUCGAGGAUAUGGGACAGAAGUUGAUCUCCUGUGUGUUACCGUACGCUGUUGGCCAAAAUCCGAGCUAAGGAAGCCAGGAGUGUCUUGACAUGCAGUGGUGAAUUCAAUUCUCAUCAUAUAGUCGACGCGUUCUGGUCCAAAAGCUCUUGAUGACCCAAAGUCCUCAACGUGACCCCAGGUCAGGCGGGAUCACCCGCUGAGAUUAAGCAUAUCAAUAAGCGGGCGGAAAAGAAACUAACAAGGAUUCCCUUUAGUAACGGCGAAGCGAACCGGAAGAGCCUGGCUUGAAAAUCAGACGCCUUUGGGGUUGGAAUUGUAGUUUGAGAAGCGCCCUCAGCGACGAAACCUGGCCCAAUUUCCCCGGAAAGGGCACCAGAGAGGGUGAGAGCCCCCAUCGUGUUCGACCCUGUCGCACCACGAGGUGCAGUCUCACGAAGUCGGGUUGUUUGGGAAUGCAGCCCCAAUAGGGCGGUAAAUUCCGUCCAAGGCUAAAUAUAGGCGAUAGACCAAUAGCGAACAAGUACCGCGAGGUAAAGAUGAAAAGGACUUUGAAAAGAGAGUCAAAGAGUGCUUGAAAUUGUCAGGAGGGAAGCGGAUGGGGGCCGGCGAUUCAUCCCGGUCGGAUGCGGAACGGAGCAAUCCGGUCCGCCGAUCGAUUCGGGCCGUGGCCCGACACGGAUUGAGGUGAUGACCUAAGCCCGGGCUUUUGGUACGCCCACGGAGACGUUGCUGCCUUAAUCGUGGUCUGCAGCAUCGCCUGCGGCGUGCCUCCUCGCAUCUGCGUGCUCAAGGCUUCGGCCUGUGGGCUCCCCAUUCGAGCCGUUUUGAAACACGGACCAAGGAGUCUGACAUGUGUGCCAGCCAACGGGUGAGUAAACCCAUAAGGCGCAAGGAAGCAGAUUGGCUGGAUCCCGCACGGGUGCACAGCCGACCGACCUUGAUCUUCUGAGAAGGGUUCGACUGUGAGCAUGCCUGUCGGGACCCGAAAGAUGGUGAACUGUGCCUGAGCGGGGCGAAGCCAGAGGAAACUCUGGUGGAGGCCCGCAGCGAUACUGACGUGCAAAUCGUUCGUCUGACUUGGGUAUAGGGCCAAAAGACUAAUCAAACCAUCUAGUAGCUGGUUCCCUCCGAAGUUUCCCUCAGGAUAGCUGGAGCUCGGAAACGAGUUCUAUCGAGUAAAGCCAAUGAUUAGAGGCAUCGGGGACACCAUGUCUGCGACCUAUUCUCAAACUUUAAAUAGGUAGGACGGUGUAGGAACCCGUUAAAAAAAAGAAAAAGAAAAGAGUGGUCGAGUAUCUUUGUGGUGGUCGAGUCACGGGCGAUAAGGAUCGAUCGAGAAGUUUUGAAGUACGAGGUGGGCGAAGAAGUGAUCGUGAGUGAACUAUGAGUCGAAUAAUUUGCUCGACCAUAGUUAGAAGAUGUCUUAGAUUGAUGAGAGGGACGUUUUGGAAGCAUAACAUUUUUGAAAGCACGACGGUUUAGAAGCUCGACGUUUUGGAAGAAUGACGUUUCUUCAGCACGAAGUUUUCUGCAAAAUUUCGUAUCAGCGGAAUAUUAUUUUGAAGACAUUGGAAGAAUGACAGGAAUUAAGCACGACGGGAAGCAAGCAUGACGGGAAAACCCAAAAUUAGACGAAAGCUCUAAUUUCGGUAUUAUGCAAGUCUUCGAUGAAGCCGAAGGAUCGGGAAAUAUUUUUCAUCAAGGUCAGAAAUAUUUAGGAAUCUCUGAAUAAUAAUUAGAUCAUCAGAACAGGAGCGGAAAAUUAUUCGGGAUUGAUCGCGGGACGAAAAUUUACCGGAAGGACCGAAAUCAGGCCAAUGGACCGAGAAGCUUGAGGUGGCUCGUUGCAUGGGUUCAGAACGUGGUGUCAACUGUCCAGAAAACUGAGUGUCUACAGAAGCUCGAGGUGUCAUCAUGCAUGGAAGCUGCACAUGCAGCUUGACAUGUAGAAGCACGAGGUGGAUCGGCCAAGUACGAGAUGUCGCGACCGCAUGCAACCGAAGCAUGCUGAUCGACAUGUGUGAGGAUGUGUGGCGCCUUGCAUGAGCUCCAGUCAUGCAGCCUGACAUCUGGGAGGAGUGGUGGCGUCCUGCAUGUGUCCUCGAAAUGCAGCCAGCCAUGUCGAGCACGAGGUGCCGCCGGACAUGCGUCCGGAGCCAUGCGAAGUGACACACGGGCUGCCACCAAGCUGAAGCUGAUUGGCUGGUGUCUCCAAUAAAUACCCCACGACCCCUGCUCAUUUCAACACAACCAGACCUGUCCAAACCAGGUUAAAAACAUAAGAGAAAAGUAGAAAAAGAAAGGAAGUGGUUCCGAGCUAUGUCGAGAGUCUUAGAGAGUUUUCGAGAUCAGUUCUCUACUGAUUUUGAGUCAUCGCCUUGGGAAGGUUCUGUCCAACUGAAGGUCAAUCAAAUGAAGAUCAGCUCAGAUGGGAAUCGAGUCAAUGUGGCCAGAGAGAAAGAGAGAGAAGCAAAGUGUUGACUUAGAGUGUAGUCGAUUCUAACCGAGAAGGCCAGUUCCGUCCGAUCGAGGAUUCUCUACGAUUGUGACGCUGAAGCUCUGUCCAAAUGAUUUCGUCCAGGUCAGUCAGUUCUUUUGAUGAUCAAGUGGAGGUGCUGUCCGGAUUUAGUUCUGAUCCACGGGUUCAGAUCAGUCAAAGUUCUGCUCGAUACUCCGCCGGGAAGUCCAAAGAACUGUCCAGAAGCUAGAGGAGGUUCUGUCCAAGUCCAGAUCAGUCCGUCCAGACCUGUUAGUGUCUUCAUGAUCAAGCCGAGAGUCUGUCCAAGUCGAUGUCAGUUCAGUCCAAGUCCGAUCAACCAGCUGCUUCUCGCCUAGAACUCUGUGAGUUGGUUUUGUGUGAAUUCAACUUGGAAUUUAGGGUAGUUUUGUGAGUUGGUUUGUUUGAAUUCCACUUGGAAUUUAGGGUAGAUCGAGUCGCAUAUAGAGUAGAUUGAUCACGCUAUUGAAUGGUAGAGUCCUUAGGGUUAUUUUAUUUAUUGAACCGGACUCAGUUUAGCAAGGGCUAAGCUG
rnacentral:rRNA from 1 species